CUUGCAGAGAGGUGGAAGGAGGCAAUUGCGGCUGAACAUGUCAAAUUGGCUCUGUCUCCAGACUUAAAAUCUUCAGAAUGUAUGGAGAUUCAGAAUGAAUGUCUAGUAGAUGUAGCUCAGUCAUCAGAUACUAAAAAAUGCAUUCUUGGCAAUGUGGAGAAUCAGCUGGUUGGUGUGGGGGUGCAUGAGUCUUCAACCACUGGAGCCAGUAAAGCCAAGUUGAGAACAAAGCCUGAUAAAGGUGUCAAGUUAAAGUAUAUACCCAA
rnacentral:misc_RNA from 1 species